rnacentral:rRNA from 1 species
UACAGAGGUCUCAAGCGUUGUUCGGAUUCAUUGGGCGUAAAGGGUGCGUAGGCGGCGCGGUAAGUCGGGUGUGAAAUCUCGGAGCUUAACUCCGAAACUGCAUUCGAUACUGCCGUGCUUGAGGACUGGAGAGGAGACUGGAAUUUACGGUGUAGCGGUGAAAUGCGUAGAUAUCGGGAAGAACACCCGUGGCGAAGGCGGCUCUCUGGAACGCAACUGACGCUGAGACGCGAAAGCGUGGGGAGCAAACAGG